UACAGGGGGGGCAAGCGUUGUUCGGAAUUACUGGGCGUAAAGGGCUCGUAGGUGGCCAACUAAGUCAGACGUGAAAUCCCUCAGCUUAACUGGGGAACUGCGUCUGAUACUGGAUGGCUUGAAUUCGGGAGAGGAUAGCGGAAUUCCCAGUGUAGAGGUGAAAUUCGUAGAUAUUGGGAAGAACACCGGUGGCGAAGGCGGCUAUCUGGACCGACAUUGACGCUGAGGCGCGAAAGCGUGGGGAGCAAACAGG
rnacentral:rRNA from 1 species